GCAAAAUACUAGAGAAUUAUUCUCUGAAAAAAUGAAACCAAGAGACUCAGAGCUUUCAGUAUGAAGACUCCUCAUCUUAAAUUAUGACAAGCAACCACACAUCACAACUUAAUGGAGGUCUGCAACAGAGGAGACAGACAAAAGCCCAGAGGAGAGUAAUUUAGAAAGAAAAUUUUAAAUAAUUUUUUAAAACAAAACAACAAAAACACAAAGUCGUACCCAAAGAUAUCUGAAAAGUUACUGAACCCACACUGCCAAGUUGAGGAACACACUGUCAAGUUGAGGAAGAUAACUGUGCUCUCAAGAAAAGAAUUUUAACUUCUGAGCCUCAGUUUCAUGCAGUGUAGCCCGGAUAAAUACCUCUUUUACAGAGUUAAGACAGGAAUUUAAUGAGGUAUUGUUUUCCGAUGUGACAAUACAUUCCCUAGCACUUAGGGAAAGCUCAAUAAAUGGCAUUCUUAUUGCCUGUGAUGCAGCAGAAAAUGCUGUGUUACUACAAAAUAAUUUUUAAAAAAACAGAUCAGUGUUUGCCAGAGGAGACAGUGGGGAAUGGGAUAAAUGCCUGAAAUGUUUUUAUCUUUAUAGUUAAAAUAAACUGAAUUAAAAAAAAACAAUAGAAGUCAGUGAAAUAUGCUUUAAGGUUAACAAUCAUUUAAUGUAUUAACAUUUUCACUUAUAAACAUACAAUUUGCAUAUACAGGGAAAAACUGGUUCAGAGGACACAAAAGAAUACUGGACACAGGCAAGCAAUCAGAAGAGAAAAGAAAAGAUCAACCCGAAGGGAAAAAAAUGGAACUGCAUUCCAUGCCGGUGUCUAUAAACUUGGGAGGAGAGAAAGAUCGCACAGAAUCACAAUUCAUGUAGAAAACAAACGUGGGUCAUUCGGUAUCAAUGGCAGGAACUUCUCCCCUGAUCCAGAUCUUGCAUCCCAGUCAGGCCCAUUUCAUGAAUGUUGAUCCGAAACACAGUGGCUCACCUCUCCCUUCUCUUUAAAUCUAACCCUGAAGUUAACUCAAGAAAUUAAAUGAACAGAGCUAAGAAACAAGGAGACUGGCAUGUGUUCAAUAUCAACGGCCAGUUAUUUAAAGUGCACGUGGAAGUAAAAUGCUGACUAAGCAUUUCACUUUAGUCAAAGUGAACAAUUUCCUUCCAACUCACCUCACUUCUUGACUUAGGACUACCUAAGUGAGGCGACCAAAAGAUUGGCAUCUAUGAGAAUUGGGGCCAAGGAAAUGAAGAGUCUCAGCCUGUUUUUAUGCUGAGCAUGCAUUUCCUCUCAGGAUCAAGUCACUAGGGACGGUGAACUUCCAGACUCAACUACAGUUGCCCAGCGUGGCUUGCCUGGCUAGGGACAGGGACU
rnacentral:lncRNA from 1 species